UACGAAGGGGGCUAGCGUUGUUCGGAAUUACUGGGCGUAAAGCGUGCGCAGGCGGCUUCUCAAGUCAGGGGUGAAAGCCCAGAGCUCAACUCUGGAAUUGCCUUUGAGACUGAGUGGCUUGAGUACGAGAGAGGUGAGUGGAAUUCCCAGUGUAGAGGUGAAAUUCGUAGAUAUUGGGAAGAACACCGGUGGCGAAGGCGGCUCACUGGCUCGUAACUGACGCUCAUGCACGACAGCGUGGGAAUCAAACAGG
rnacentral:rRNA from 1 species